rnacentral:rRNA from 1 species
AUACGGAGGGUCCGAGCGUUAAUCGGAAUUACUGGGCGUAAAGCGCGCGUAGGCGGCUAUAUAAGUCAGAUGUGAAAUCCCUGGGCUCAACCUAGGAACUGCAUUUGAAACUGUAUGGCUAGAGUACGGUAGAGGUGAGUGGAAUUUCAGGUGUAGCGGUGAAAUGCGUAGAGAUCUGAAGGAACAUCAGUGGCGAAGGCGACUCACUGGGCCAUUACUGACGCUGAGGUGCGAAAGCGUGGGUAGCAAACAGGAUUAGAAACCCUAGUAGUCC